CCUGAGAUUAUAUGAUCAAAAAUUGUACUUUAUUUUCAAAGAAAGACAUACAUGUUAUAGUCUAAUCCGGUAUUCCAUUGAUCAGCUGAUUGCUCUAGCAAAUUGCAACCGACGCAAACAAAUUGCAAUUUUUACAUAUGGUAACAGUAUUAAACCGUCAACUGCAAAAUUCAAAAGUUUAUAAUAUGAUUCAGAAGCAACUUUGUAAAUAAAGCCCGAUUGGCUACUAGUACAAAACAAGCCAAUCAAAUACUUGAAAUCCACAAAUUGUCAACAAGUAAAAAUUGCAAUUUAUCCGCGUUGGUUGCAAUUUGCUAGAGCAAUCAGCCGGUCAAUAUUGCAAUGUGUGACAAUAUUGCAAUAUUGCUGGCAACGAAACACCAGAUUUGACUGUAAGCUAUGAUUGAUUAAGUGCAGUCUACUUUUCUUGAAAUACACUGGUGCUAAAGUAAUUCAGUGUCAAAAAGUAAAAUGUGCUUAGCCCCUAAAAUAAGGACUUGUCAAUGGACCAUUUGCAUUAUAGACUAAAUUGUGAUCUAGACAAGUCUAGACAAAAAUUUCAUCACAGCUUGAAAGAGCAUCUCAAAAUUAGUAAUAUUCCAAAGUUUCGUUACGAAAUGUUGUAAGGGACCGGUCAUUAUUUAUGGUGGGGGGUGGCACCGAAGAGAAAAGGGUUGGGUAAACUAAAUUUUGACUAAGUAAAAGGUUGGGUAAAUGAAAAACAAAACAACUCAAGGGUUGGGUAAUAAAAAAUUAUUGUCAUUUCCAAAGCAUGACUCACUGAAGUAUUGGGGACUAAAAAGCAAUGGCAACAGUAGGCCCUACUCUGGGGCGAUAACGAGAUAAUGCAAGUUUAAUUAAGCAAAUUUAGGUGAUUUAAGCAAAAUCUGCAAUUUAAGCAAUGCGAGUUUGAGCGAUAUAGGGCAAUGUAAGAAAACAAUUAAAAUUUUAGGGAAUGCUGUUUUAGGUGUUUAGAGGUAAUUUCAGGAAUAUACAACUAUAUCCCUGAUGACUCCAAUGAAAUUACCAUUAACCUACGCCAAGCAUCCAAACAUGAGUGUUCCCACAAACACACACACAUGCAGUGUAUGAAGCAAAAUAUACAAUUUAACAAAAAAAGUUGAAGUCUGCUUGAGGGGGUUCUGGAAACAAACAAUACACUGUAUGCGCAUGACGAUCAAGUGUUUAAAGGGUAAAUAAGUUCAAUAUUCAUGACUUUUUCCAUCCAUUGUCUAUUUCGAAGCCAUUGGGGUAUUAUUAAAUCCAUGACACAACUAUAAUACAUGACCACAUGUUCACAUCAUAUGCAAUUGCAAACAAUUUUCAAAGGAGUAGGGUACAGAAUUGCAAUAUAACAACAUAUAAGUAAAUUAUACAUGUCAUGAACUUACCAGUUUGUGUUGAGUUAAAUUUAAAAAUUUUUAUGACAUCAAAUAUUAUUUAUUUAUUUGCAAAUCAAAACAUUUUAAAAUUCUCGUGUUUUGUUUUGUAUUGCGCCCGCGAUAUAUUAAUGGUAUUAACUGCUGUGAAUAUGAUAUACAUUUUUAAUACAUUACAUUUGCGCUCAAAAGUUCAGGAAGUGAGUUUCUAGAAAGGAUGAAAACUCCGUUUUAUAUAUGGUAUGUAAAAGGUAAUCGUUGUUUACUGUUUAUUUUGUAUUCAGGUAUG
rnacentral:lncRNA from 1 species